UUACGAUCAUUAGAAACGGCUUGCUUGGCAUCGUUUGCUAUGUAUAAUACUGAUCUAUGCCCGAGUGGUGAAAUCGGUAGACGCGGUGGAUUCAAAAUCCUUUUAAAACAAGGCUUUAAACCGAAACUUCGUUCCGGUUUUGCAGUCCUCAAUCAUACCAAAUGAGCCAUGUUUCACCUAAGUUUUUUACCCUAUCUAAACACCUUAUAUCUCUCUAAAACAUACCUAAUAAACGCACAUUAUUACCCUUAGAAAAUCUGCUCCUGUUCAUAUCUUGUACUUUUCCAUGCAGAACUUACGCGCAACAAAAUUUCACGCACUUCUGAUGGUUCCAGCAAGCUCCUGUACUGUAGCGAUUGUUAAUUUUUCUGGUGGUUGUCAGUGACAGUAUUAGCAUGGCAACAGGUUAGGUGAGAUUCCGGUCUUUUACGGUCCUCGUCCUGUCCUCUUGAAUCUGUAUGCGUGAUUCGGUAGGUUUAUCAAUGCUGAAGGUGGUUGCGCUAUUAUUUCGUAAUUGGCAAAUGUGGUAAGUGCUUAUGCGAUAUGGUUUUGUGGCGUGUGUGCGAUUUGAUCGUAGGGGAUAGAUAAUAAAUAACACACACAUUGAUCCCCAGACUUAAUAUUCUUCACAAUUGUAGGGGG
rnacentral:misc_RNA from 1 species